UGGCUUUUUGAUGUUUUAUAUGACUUCUUAUCAAUAUAUAUGACAUUAUGAAUAAUAUAUAUGACUUUCUGUAAAUAUAUAUGAUAUCCUGAAUAAUAUAUAUGACUUCAUACAUCUUUAUAUGAUAUCUUGUUGGUUAUUAUAACUAACAGGAAGUCAUAUAAUUAUAAAGCAUUAGGAUGUUAUAAUAACUAAUAGGAUAUCAUAUAAAGGUCAUGAAAGCA
rnacentral:lncRNA from 1 species